AUUUGCAUUGUUGUUUUGUGCUUGAACUAGAUUGCUUCAUACAACAAUACAUAAUUUUGGCUUUUGUAAACUUGGAUCAAAUACCUGUGAGAUAGCUUUUCCCUGUUUCACACUUAGCAAGAUCAUUAGUUCCUUUAAUCAUGGUUGUCAUUCUAUCAUCCAAAACACAUUAAGUGGCUUAAUGCACUUACAAUCUCCCCCUUUUUGGUGAUUGAUGACAACCUUGAUUAAAGCUUACAAAAGAUAAU
rnacentral:lncRNA from 1 species